CAAGGUAUAGCUUAAUCAAAGCCUCUUGCUUACACCAAGACUAUAUCUGUUAAACCCGGAUUACCUUGA
rnacentral:tRNA from 1 species